AUAGGAUUUGUGCUUAAUAUAGUAUUUGUGCUAAAUUAUAGUAUUUCUGCUUUUUAUAGUAUUUGUGCUAAAACAUAGUAUUUCUACUAAAUGUAGUAUUUAUGCUUAAUCAUAGUAUUUCUAUAUAUUUCUGCCUGGUCCCCAGGCAGCCAAUCCUCUGUGAGGACUUAGACAUUCAAAUUUUCAAAUCAGGUCCUGCACGGUUUCCCAGCCAAUCAUAUAUGUGUCCUGAGGCAUUCAAAUUUGCAUAUUGGGGACUUCAUGGCUUCUAAGCCAGCCAAUCAUAUCUGAGGGCUGAGGAAUUCAAAUCCACAAAUCAGGGCCUGCACAGCUUCCCAGCCAGCCAAUCAUGUAUGUGGGCUCCAGGUAUUCAAAUUUGCAUAUUGGGGAAUUCGUGGCUUCUAAGUCAACAAGUCAUCGGUGUCAUAUAUCUCUAAAAAUUCAUAUUUUAAUGAUAAAUUGUAAACACUGGAAGAUUCCCCCAUCUCUUCUGAACAAAACGGUGUAAGAAUGACCGUUCUAGCUCCUACGGUUAGGAAAUUAUGGUCAUUUGUUUGAGGGGAGUCGUCAUUAUGAGAAAUAGACUGCAAUGAUCCUGUGUCUCUCUGUGCUGCGUGUGUAAAAAGGAUGCACCUGUUUUGGAGGGAAAGAGUGCACAGGCUCUCUGAUUGGUGGAUUCAAAUUCAGCAGCUCCCAGGCUGACCUACAAACUCACUUUUCUCUCCCUGUGUGUGUGUGUGUGUGUGUGUGUGUGUGUGUGUGUGUGUGUGUGUGUGUGUGUGUGUGUGUGUGUGUGUGUGACAGAGAGAGAGAGAGAGAGAGACCAACUUUAGGGCAGCAUCUCAUUGUUGGAAAAACAUAUAAUAUAUUUAGACUGGUUGACUGGCAUAGACCCUCUGUGUGUCUCUCUCUCUGUGCAUUUGUGUAUACAUAUUUGAUUUUAUGUGUAAUUGUUGGCUGUUCCUUCUUGUUUUUUAAUUUAUUUUUAUUUCGUUUUUUUCCACAUGUGAACAACAAUUAGUUUUGAGGGAACUUAACCAUAUUCUGUUUUUUUUUUCAUCUUGUCAUUUAACUUUUCCAAUAUUUCUACUUCAGUUAUUGCUAUUCUGCUCAAUCAUAGUAUUUGUUCUAAAUCAUUGUUAUUAUGCUAUAUUGUAGUAUUUCUGCUAAAUCAUUGUAUUUCUACUAUAUUAUAUUUUUCUUUCUAAAUAUAGCAUUUCUGCUAUAUAAUUGUAUUUCUGCCAAAUUAUAAUAUUUGUGCUAAAACAUAGUCUUAAUUUAAAAUUACAAUAUUCAUAGUUCAUCACAGUGUCUCUGGUAAAUCACAAUAUUUCUGCUCUGUUGUACUAUUUUUCUAAAUCAUAGUGUUUCUGUAAUGUUUAAG
ensembl:lncRNA